rnacentral:rRNA from 1 species
GACGAACCGUGCUAACGUUGUUCGGAAUCAUUGGGCUUAAAGGGCGCGUAGGCGGGUCAGCAAGUCAGGGGUGAAAUCCCACGGCUCAACCGUGGAAGAGCCUGUGAUACUGCUGAUCUUGAGGGAGGUAGGGGCGUGCGGAACUUCCGGUGGAGCGGUGAAAUGCGUAGAUAUCGGAAGGAACACCGGUGGCGAAAGCGACGCGCUGGACCUCUUCUGACGCUGAGGCGCGAAAGCCAGGGGAGCAAACGGG